AACCAAUUCCUCUCACCCUCUAUUCCCAUGUUCACCCAUCCCUAACAAGUAGAAUGGUAGGUCUGAAUGUCCGCUACCUGCACAUUCACACACUUCGAAAUUCAAACUCUACACUCUUAACCCACCUCUCCUCUCCCCCCCCCCCCCCCUCUCUCUCUCUCUCUCUAAAUCCACAGAAGAACGAACCAUUUGUAACUUUGCAUUGACCUGUGUUAGCCGGUUGCGGCCGCCGGCAGGGGAGUCAUCAUUAUGUCGCUGACGCCGUUGAUGUUUCGGUCGGUGGUGAGGCUGGUGACGGCGCUGGUGGGGGAGCCGACGGCGUCGGUGACGACGCUGCUAUACUACAGCGACCUGCUGCCGCAGAACGCAGUGUUGGAGAGGCUGGUCCGCCACGAGAUGCUUGAUCGCGAGAACUACCUCUUCCAUUUCCUCAUCAACUUCUUGAGAUGCUUCUGAGUUGGGCCGGCUCUUUUUUGGUGCAAUUGUAACCGGUGAUGAUGAUGAAGUGAUGUAUAUCAUGGGUGAGUCUGAAUUCUUACUGUGAUUCAUUCUAAUUGAUUAGGGUCAAAGUUUUAGUUUGAUUAAUUGAUUCGUACCAGUUGUAGAAAUUUAUGGUUCUAUGUAUACUUGAACAAUAUAGGCGGACGAUAAUGUUUAUUUUGAUUUGGGUUUAAUCAAUAUAUAGUUGCAUAUACAUAUA